rnacentral:misc_RNA from 1 species
GAAAUGCGAUAAGUAGUGUGAAUUGCAGAAUUCAGUGAAUCAUCGAAUCUUUGAACGCACAUUGCGCCCCUCGGCAUUCCGUGGGGCAUGCCUGUUCGAGCGUCAUCUACACCCUCAAGCUCUGCUUGGUGUUGGGCGUCUGUCCCGCCUCCGCGCGCGGACUCGCCCCAAAUGCAUUGGCAGCGGUUCCUUGCCCCCCUCUUUGCGCACCACAUUGCCAUUCGAGGCGGCGGCGGCCCGCGUCCAACAAGCUCAACCCCCCCGUCUUUGACCUCGGAUCAGGUAGGGAUACCCGCUGAACUUAAGC